GAAGUCCUGGUCCGAUCGGACGAAGACCCUGGUCCACACCCAGGCAGACUUCGACUAGCGGCGUUGGAACUGUCCAGCGCCUCAAGCCGGACCUUGAUGAGCUUAGCUUUCUUCAACGCUUGAGCAACAUCAGCAUCCAUCCGCGACCGCAAGUCCUUGACGGCCUUGGCGUUGUGUAGAGUCUUGCUCUGCUCGUGAGCAGAUUGGAGA
rnacentral:misc_RNA from 1 species